AUUGAACGCUGGCGGCAGGCUUAACACAUGCAAGUCGAGGGGUAUAGUUCUUCGGAGCUAGAGACCGGCGCACGGGUGCGUAACGCGUAUGCAAUCUACCUUUUGCAGAGGGAUAGCCCAGAGAAAUUUGGAUUAAUACCUCAUAGUAUGUGAGAAUGGCAUCAUUUUCACAUUAAAGUCACAACGGCAAAAGAUGAGCAUGCGUCCCAUUAGCUUGUUGGUAAGGUAACGGCUUACCAAGGCAACGAUGGGUAGGGGUCCUGAGAGGGAGAUCCGCCACACUGGUACUGGGACACGGACCAGACUCCUACGGUAGGCAGCAGUGAGGAAUAUUGGACAAUGGGCGCAAGCCUGAUCCAGCCAUGCCGCGUGCAGGAUGACGGUCCUAUGGAUUGUAAACUGCUUUUGUACAGGAAGAAACACUGGUUCGUGAACCAGCUUGACGGUACUGUAAGAAUAAGGAUCGGCUAACUCCGUGCCAGCCGCCGCAGUAAGAC
rnacentral:rRNA from 1 species